GAGGGUGAGGGUGGAGGUGGGGGCGAUCUUUAUUGUGGCGGUGGGUGGGAGGGGGGUUCCCACGUGAGCCCUGGUGCUAUAGAGAGCCGGCCGUCCUCCAGGGGUGAGCUGGGGAGGCUUCUGCGGUUCUGGAGUCCCGGCGAUGGCGCCAGUUCCCCAGCAAACCCCCUCCAGAGCUGCCCCCGGAUGCACAGACAAGGAGGGGGCUUGGGAGUGACUUGAGGCUGUGACGGGGUCGCCCUCGGUGUGGGCAAGUGAGUCCUCUGUGGCCAAGAGGUCAGAGUCGUCCCUGAGGCUGAGUCGAACACAGACCCGUGGCCCUCAUAAAAUUAAACAUAAAAGCACAAAAAUGGCGCAACCAGACAGCAUUGGCUUCAGACAGGCAGGACACGGGGCCCCUCGUGUGACCUGUGACUUUCCACAAAGGGCAAGGACCUGGCACUGACUCCGGCCAGUGGAGAAGGCUGUGCCGCCCACCCGGCCAUGACUCAGACCCAGAGGCUGAAAGCCACAGACGGGGCCGCAGGGCAGCAGCUCCCGGGCUCUCGUGAAACACUUCAGAAGGAAAAAAACCUAAGGAACAGAAUCCUGAAUGGAGAAAACCCAACUUUUUUAAAAAAGAAGGAAGUGUAUGAUGGGAAUCUACGGGGUGGGUUUUCUUUA
rnacentral:lncRNA from 1 species